rnacentral:rRNA from 1 species
UCUGGUUGAUCCUGCCAGUAGUCAUAUGCUUGUCUCAAAGAUUAAGCCAUGCAUGUCUCAGUACAAGCCAUAUUAAGGUGAAACCGCGAAAGGCUCAUUAUAUCAGUUAUGGUUCCUUAGAUCGUACCCACAUUUACUUGGAUAACUGUGGUAAUUCUAGAGCUAAUACAUGCAAACAGAGUUCUGACCAGAGAUGGAAGGAAUGCUUUUAUUAGAUCAAAACCAAUCGGUAUUUAUUAUAUGGGUUUAUAUUUUUAUUCGAUAUUUUGAUUUAUAUUUAUAUUGAUAACUUUUGUUUGAUAUAUUUAAAUAUAAUGAUAAUUGAGAAUUGAAUAUAUAUUACUCAUUAAUAUAUUAUAUAUGUACCGUAUUAUUUGGUGACUCUGAAUAACUUUUAGCUGAUCGCACGGUCUUUAUUUAGUACCGGCGACGUAUCUUUCAAAUGUCUGCCUUAUCAACUGUCGAUGGUAGGUUCUGUGCCUACCAUGGUUGUAACGGGUAACGGGGAAUCAGGGUUCGAUUCCGGAGAGGGAGCCUGAGAAACGGCUACCACAUCCAAGGAAGGCAGCAGGCGCGCAAAUUACCCACUCCCAGCACGGGGAGGUAGUGACGAAAAAUAACGAUACGGGACUCAUCCGAGGCCCCGUAAUCGGAAUGAGUACACUUUAAAUCCUUUAACGAGGAUCCAUUGGAGGGCAAGUCUGGUGCCAGCGGCCGCGGUAAUUCCAGCUCCAAUAGCGUAUAUUAAAGUUGUUGCGGUUAAAAAGCUCGUAGUCGAAUUUGUGUUCUGCACUGUUGGUUCACCGCUCGCGGUGUUUAACUGACAUGUUUUGCAGAACGUCCUACCGGUGGGUGGUAAUCUAUAUAAUAAUAAAUAACAUCAAAAAAAAAAAAAAAAAAUUCAUAAUUAUAUGAAUAAUAUAAACAGAACAAAAACAAAACAAAACAAAACAAAAAAAAACACCCAAUAGAAAAAUAUCCCGUCACGGUGCACUUAAUUGUGUGUCGAGGUGGGCCGGUACGUUUACUUUGAACAAAUUAGAGUGCUUAAGGCAGGCUAAAAAUUUCCGCCUGAAUAUUGUGUGCAUGGAAUAAUAGAAUAGGACCUCGGUUCUAUUUUGUUGGUUUUCGGAACACCGAGGUAAUGAUUAAUACGGACAGAUGGGGGCAUUCGUAUUGCGACGUUAGAGGUGAAAUUCUUGGAUCGUCGCAAGACGAACAGAAGCGAAAGCAUUUGCCAAAAAUGUUUUGAUUGAUCAAGAACGAAAGUUAGAGGUUCGAAGGCGAUCAGAUACCGCCCUAGUUCUAACCAUAAACGAUGCCAGCUAGCGAUCCGCCAAAGUUCCUCCGAUGACUUGGCGGGCAGCUUCCGGGAAACCAAAGCUUUUGGGUUCCGGGGGAAGUAUGGUUGCAAAGCUGAAACUUAAAGGAAUUGACGGAAGGGCACCACCAGGAGUGGAGCCUGCGGCUUAAUUUGACUCAACACGGGAAACCUCACCAGGCCCGGACACCGGAAGGAUUGACAGAUUGAGAGCUCUUUCUUGAUUCGGUGGGUGGUGGUGCAUGGCCGUUCUUAGUUGGUGGAGCGAUUUGUCUGGUUAAUUCCGAUAACGAACGAGACUCUAGCCUGCUAAAUAGACGUACUAUUCAAAUACCAGCAUCUCAAGGCCUUAAUAUCUAUAUUCUAUACUUUAUUAUAUAUAUUUUAUAUAUUUUUUAUAUUUUGCGAAUAAUAUUAAUUUGUAUUAUAUAUUUUAUGUUCUUCACGGGACAUUUUAUAUAUGAUAUCGGUUAUAUUAUUUUCAUAUAUAAAUAUUUAUUUAUUAUCAAUUUAUUAUAAAUAAUAGUUUUUAUGGUAUGGUUUUUACUGCUGGCGUACAAUUAAUUCUUCUUAGAGGGACAGGCGGCUUCUAGCCGCACGAGAUUGAGCAAUAACAGGUCUGUGAUGCCCUUAGAUGUUCUGGGCCGCACGCGCGCUACACUGAAGGAAUCAACGUGUCUUCCCUGGCCGAAAGGUCCGGGUAACCCGAUGAACCUCCUUCGUGCUAGGGAUUGGGGCUUGCAAUUAUUCCCCAUGAACGAGGAAUUCCCAGUAAGCGCGAGUCAUAAGCUCGCGUUGAUUACGUCCCUGCCCUUUGUACACACCGCCCGUCGCUACUACCGAUUGAAUGAUUUAGUGAGGUCUUCAGACCGAUACGCGGUAAAUGAAAUAUAAAUAAUAUUUAUAUUUUUGCCGAUGAUGUUGGAAAGAUGACCAAACUUGAUCAUUUAGAGGAAGUAAA